GUCCACGCUGUAAACGAUGUGUGCUAGACGUUGGGGAGCCUAGCUCUUCGGUGUCGCAGCUAACGCUUUAAGCACACCGCCUGGGGAGUACGGCCGCAAGGUUAAAACUCAAAGGAAUUGACGGGGGCCCGCACAAGCGGUGGAGCAUGUGGUUUAAUUCGACGCAACGCGAAUAACCUUACCAGCCCUUGACAUGUCCGGUAUGGGUGUGGGAGACCUCAUUCUUCAGUUCGGCUGGCCGGAACACAGGUGCUGCAUGGCUGUCGU
rnacentral:rRNA from 1 species